rnacentral:rRNA from 1 species
AUUGAACGCUGGCGGCAUGCUUUACACAUGCAAGUCGAACGGCAGCGCGGGCUUCGGCCUGGCGGCGAGUGGCGAACGGGUGAGUAAUACAUCGGAACGUGCCCAGUAGUGGGGGAUAGCUCGGCGAAAGCCGGAUUAAUACCGCAUACGACCUGAGGGUGAAAGCGGGGGAUCUUCGGACCUCGCGCUAUUGGAGCGGCCGAUGGCAGAUUAGCUAGUUGGUGGGGUAAAGGCCCACCAAGGCGACGAUCUGUAGCUGGUCUGAGAGGACGACCAGCCACACUGGGACUGAGACACGGCCCAGACUCCUACGGGAGGCAGCAGUGGGGAAUUUUGGGCAAUGGGCGAAAGCCUGAUCCAGCAAUGCCGCGUGUGUGAUGAAGGCCUUCGGGUUGUAAAGCACUUUUGGCGGGAACGAAAAGGACUGUGCCAAUACCACGGUUCGAUGACGGUACCCGCAGAAUAAGCACCGGCUAACUACGUG